rnacentral:tRNA from 1 species
GACCGCGUAGCUCAGUUGGAAGAGCAUUGGGCUAGUAUUCCAUAGGUCGUAGGUUCGAAUCCCACCGUGGGCA